rnacentral:rRNA from 1 species
AGAGUUUGAUCCUGGCUCAGAUUGAACGCUGGCGGCAUGCUUUACACAUGCAAGUCGAACGGCAGCACAGGGAGCUUGCUCCCGGGUGGCGAGUGGCGCACGGGUGAGUAAUACAUCGGAACGUGUCCUGUUGUGGGGGAUAACUGCUCGGAAGGGUGGCUAAUACCGCAUGAGACCUGAGGGUGAAAGCGGGGAUCGCAAGACCUCGCGCAAUUGGAGCGGCCGAUGCCCGAUUAGCUAGUUGGUGAGGUAAAGGCUCACCAAGGCGACGAUCGGUAGCUGGUCUGAGAGGACGACCAGCCACACGUGGGACUGGAGACCACGGCCCAGACCUCCUACGGGGAGGCCA